rnacentral:rRNA from 1 species
CGAGUUUGAUCCUGGCUCAGAUUGAACGCUGGCGGAAUGCUUUACACAUGCAAGUCGAGCGGCAGCGCGGGGGCAACCCUGGCGGCGAGCGGCGAACGGGUGAGUAACAUAUCGGAACGUACCCAGUCGUGGGGGAUAACUAUCCGAAAGGAUAGCUAAUACCGCAUACGUCCUGAGGGAGAAAGCGGGGGAUCGCAAGACCUCGCGCGAUUGGAGCGGCCGAUAUCGGAUUAGCUAGUUGGUGGGGUAAAGGCUCACCAAGGCGACGAUCCGUAGCGGGUCUGAGAGGACGACCCGCCACACUGGAACUGAGACACGGUCCAGACUCCUACGGGAGGCAGCAGUGGGGAAUUUUGGACAAUGGGGGCAACCCUGAUCCAGCCAUUCCGCGUGAGUGAAGAAGGCCUUCGGGUUGUAAAGCUCUUUCAGCAGGAACGAAACGGUGGUCCCUAAUACGGACUACUAAUGACGGUACCUGAAGAAGAAGCACCGGCUAACUACGUG